CGUGCCUGUCCAUAUGGUUUGUUUUGGUAUUUUGUUGCAGAUAUUGAACACAACAGCUUUAAAUCUUAAAGGGACGUUUAAGCUUUAACAGGCCUUAAAUCGCCUUCUUCGGACCAAAAACACCCGCAUGUGAAAAUGUGAUCUAAAAUGGCCAAAUGGACAGAUAAUCCAGCCAAACUUAAUAUAUUGGUGCAAUAUAAAUAGGAAGAUAAUAAUAUGCAAGAAAAACACAUUUUAUUCAGAACAUAUUUUUCCUUUAGGUUACAAUAUACUAAAUCUUUUGGGAGUGCAAUGCUAUACACUUUAAAAACCUGAACAUCAUUUAUAAGAAGACACAAUUUUCUGUGUGGGCACUUGCCAUGACUUUAUUUUAGAAUGUUUCUUUGUGCAUGUGGUAGGGAAAACAUUGAUGUUUAACAGAAAUUCACUCAUUUGCUUGAAGGUUAAAGACUACAUGAGACUUUGACAGAUGGCGGGAAACCCUCAUCCACUGGUAGAGGAAUGUCUGCGACUAAGCCGAGGGCCACUGGACAAGGGUUGUUGAUGGCAAAACAGGUUAAAGACUACAUGAGACUUUGACAGAUGGCGGGAAACCCUCAUCCACUGGUACGAACCCGGUAGAGGAAUGUCUGCGACUAAGCCGAGGGCCACUGGACAAGGGUUGUUGAUGGCAAAACAGGUUAAAGACUACAUGAGACUUUGACAGAUGGCGGGAAACCCUCAUCCACUGGUACGAACCCGGUAAAUUGAUGGCUGUAAAACAGUGACCGCUGAUUCGCAUCGAGUUCUUUCUUGCAAAACGCAUGACCCCCCUUUUUUAUUGUCUAAAUCAUUGCGGCUUGGAAUGCUCUUUAAGAAAAGGUAGAGGAAUGUCUGCGACUAAGCCGAGGGCCACUGGACAAGGGUUGUUGAUGGCAAAACAGGUUAAAGACUACAUGAGACUUUGACAGAUGGCGGGAAACCCUCAUCCACUGGUACGAACCCGAAAAGCAUGGAUCUGUUUGAGGCCUUACGCGAGACCCAGGCCGUGGUUCAGGUGCCCAAGAACGAGAGAGCAGACCCAGCCGUCUAGGACGCCCUGUUCGAUGAGGCUGUCGACCUGGCAGCUUCCGUGGAAGUGAUGCCAUCAACGCCUCGCAGAACUAGCAAACAACAGCACAGGUACAACCACCCUGCCUCCUAUUCUAUGACAUAUUGGCGCAUAUCCUGUAAUACCAAUUCCUAGAUCACCUCGUGCAGGAAAUAAGUGACCGAAUACUGCGGAAUGAGGACCGGUAAUUGUUAAUACUUAUCUAGAUCACUGUAUUUUCGUAUAGAAAAUUCUCUACAUGUUUAGUGUGACGUACACUGAAAGAGCUAUUAAAGUUUG